rnacentral:rRNA from 4 species
GGUCACACCCGUUCCCAUACCGAACACGGAAGUUAAGCUCUCUAGCGCCGAUGGUAGUUGGGACCUUGUCCCUGUGAGAGUAGGACGUUGCCAGGC